GAUGAACGCUGGCGGCGUGCUUAACACAUGCAAGUCGAACGAUGAAGCCCAGCUUGCUGGGUGGCUUAGUGGCGAACGGGUGAGUAACUCGCGAGUAACCUGCCCUUGACUCUGGGAUAAGCCUGGGUAACUAGGGCUAAUACUGGAUAUGUCUUCUCAUCGCAUGCUGGGGGUUGGAAAGAAUUAUUGGUUUUGGUUGGUCUCGCGGCCUAUCAGCUUGUUGGUGAGGUAAUGGCUCACCAAGGCGACGACGGGUGGCCGGACUGAAAGGGUGACCGGCCACACUGGGACUGAGACACGACCCAGACUCCUACGGGAGGCAGGAGUGGGGGAUAUUGCACGAUGGGCGGAAGCCGUAUGCAGCGACGCCGCGUGGGGGAUGACGGCCUUCGGGUUGUAACCCUCUUUCAGGAGGGAAGAAGAGAGAGUGACGGUACCUGCAGAAGAAGCGCCGGCUAACUACGUG
rnacentral:rRNA from 1 species